GCUGGCGGCGUGCCUAAUACAUGCAAGUCGAGCGGAGUCAUUUUGAAAGCUUGCUUUCAAAAUGACUUAGCGGCGGACGGGUGAGUAACACGUAGGCAACCUGCCCCUUAGACUGGGAUAACUACCGGAAACGGUAGCUAAUACCGGAUAAUUUCUUUUUUCUCCUGAAGAAAGAAUGAAAGACGGAGCAAUCUGUCACUGAGGGAUGGGCCUGCGGCGCAUUAGCUAGUUGGUGGGGUAACGGCCCACCAAGGCGACGAUGCGUAGCCGACCUGAGAGGGUGAACGGCCACACUGGGACUGAGACACGGCCCAGACUCCUACGGGAGGCAGCAGUAGGGAAUCUUCCGCAAUGGACGAAAGCCUGACGGAGCAACGCCGCGUGAGUGAUGAAGGUUUUCGGAUCGUAAAGCUCUGUUGCCAGGGAAGAACGUCCGGUAGAGUAACUGCUAUCGGAGUGACGGUACCUGAGAAGAAAGCCCCGGCUAACUACGUGCCAGCAGCCGCGGUAAUACGUAGGGGGCAAGCGUUGUCCGGAAUUAUUGGGCGUAAAGCGCGCGCAGGCGGUCAUUUAAGUCUGGUGUUUAAACCUUGGGCUCAACCUGAGGUCGCACUGGAAACUGGGUGACUUGAGUACAGAAGAGGAAAGUGGAAUUCCACGUGUAGCGGUGAAAUGCGUAGAUAUGUGGAGGAACACCAGUGGCGAAGGCGACUUUCUGGGCUGUAACUGAC
rnacentral:rRNA from 1 species